AGAAAUCCCAGUGCGCCCUGGAGGAGUACGUGAGGAGCCAGUACCCGAACCAGCCCAGCCGCUUUGGGAAGCUCCUGCUGCGGCUGCCCUCUCUGCGCACCGUCUCCUCGUCGGUAAUCGAGCAGCUGUUCUUCGUCCGCUUGCAGCAGCAGCAGCAGCAAACUGACCUCCAGGACAUUUUUACUGAGAGGACCGUCUGGGGCGCCUGUCCCCCGGGCCACGAAUGCGCGUGGAGUCGAUCAUCAGUCAAAGAGGAGAGACAUGAAAAUCAAAAGCACUUUUAAUAUAUCAUUUCAAAAUACAUUUUGUUUGUUUCGUCUUGGAAGAAAUUUUCAUUGUUUCUUGAAUUUUAUUGGUUGUUGCCUUCAAUUUGCUUACUCCAUGAUGCAGCUUUUUGCAGAAGGGUCGGUUGAUGAAGUUGUGUGAUGGUGACUGUACUAUUAAAAAAAGAAAUAGGCAA